rnacentral:lncRNA from 1 species
CCUCUUGUGUGGGCUACAGGUGGCUGAGUACCUCUUGUGUGGGCUAAGGGUAGUGGGGAGCUAAGCACAAUGUGGCACCUCUUGUGUGACCUACAGGUGGCAGGGACGAACCACAGCAGUCAUCUCAGACACCAGAGGGAGGCAUGGCCCACCAACACUAGGGGUCUGUGAACAGCCACCACCUGCAGCUCCAGUCACCUCAGAGUUUGGCAAAAAGUGGGCACUGCAACCAAGCACCACAGGGGUGUUGUUCUCACUCCUCUGGGAACACAUCUGCCCUGCUGCUUCCACUACCAAAUGUUCUGGGAACUACCUACACAUGCCUGAUGACUGUCACGUCACAGGACCCUGCAACUAGGAGCAGCCUGCACAGCAUUUCCUGCAUGGCUAAAUGGGAUGAGGUGUUUCUUGCAUGGCCUACAGGUGGUGGAGGCAAACCACCAUAGUGAUCUCUGACUCCAGAGGUAGGUGUGACCUGCCACCAAAAAGAGUCUAUGAAUAGGCAUCACUUAUGGCCCCAGUCAUCUCAGGGGGCACCAGAAGAGGGCAUUGAAACUAAGCACAACAUUGUUGUGAGACGUGUUUCUACAGUAUCUUCUUAGCAUCUUUGCUGAAAACUCCAUCUUGUCCUGCUUUACUUUACCCCAUAUUUCUGCUUGAAAAAGUCACAAGUGCUGGUGAAUGACUUAAGCUUAAGCACAAAGACCUAAAGGCAUAAGUUAUUCAUAGGGUCAGCUGAAUGAGGACAUGAUGCAUUGGUCUAGGCACCCUGGACAUGUGCAGAUUGGCAUGCUGUUUGCACAGCAUGAUAUGUCCUCUAAAGAAUAAGAGAAACAAGAGACACAUGACCCCAAGGGGUUUAUGAGAGGUCGUUAGCAGGAUAUGCAUUAGCAAGGAGAACCGAGGUGCAAACCUAGGCAUGCCAGGUUGCUGUAGAUAGGCACGCCAUCUGCAGAAGCACAAUGGUGUUCCUCUAGAUGCUAUGCAUAGAUAGCUGAGGCCAAGCUUCCUCAAACUCUAAUGAUUGUUAAAUGCCUAAAGGUCAGAAUAAAAGCUUAAUCAGCAAACAGCUAAGUGACUUUUAAAAUAAUUUUAAAAAAACCUAUAUCCUGCACCUACAACCCCCUCUUCAAUUGACAUAAUCCUCAAGAGCACAAUAAAAGCAGUGUGGUUUCUUGAGGCGGUGCUCUUGGUCCCUGAGACCUUGGUCCCUGGUUCCCACCUUUACUUAAGAUAAAUGUCUCUGUGUCUUGUUUUAUGUUAACUUUUUCCUUAAAUUUUACAGCACCUGUUCUUCAGCCCCAUCCUGCUGAGCUGGUCUCAGCACAACCUAUUGUUGUGUUUACACCCCUGGGAAUUCACACACCCUGCCACUACCAGUGCCAAAUGCUCCAGGCACCUCCUAAAUCUGCUUGAGGCUCAUUACCAUGCCCCAGGGCCCUGCAACUAGGAGUAGCCUGCAACAACUUCCUACAAGUCCUUGCUACUGUCAAGACCCCAGCAACCAGGCACUGACUACUACCCCUUUCCAUUGCCUCCUUCUCCCUAGAAACACAUGUAGCACCCUAUCAAGGGGAUAAAAUUUGCUCACACUGAGGAAAGAGACAUCAAAUAUCCAAACUCCCACACUAAAAAUAAAUAGUAAACCCCCACAAAAUACAAAGGGAAUACAGAGGGGGUGCUCUUGCAUAGAAAUUGACCUCCAAGACUACCGUAGCUGGUUUCUCCAAACUCACACAGAAUCAGAAAAAUACAAAUGAAAUGAAGAAACAGAGGAACCAUUUCCAAUUAAAAGAACAGGAGAAUUCUUUUAAAGUGAAAGCAGCAAACAGUGAAACAGACCUCUGCAGUCUAAUAGAGUUCAAAAAGGAAAAGGUGAAAUUAUUGAAGGGAUUAAAGGUGAACAUGAAGGAAUUAAGAGCAGAUGUAAAUAGUAAUGUAGAUUACUUCAGAAAAGAACUAGAAAAU